CUUCGGACCUCGCGCUAUUGGAUGAGCCUAAGUCGGAUUAGCUUGUAGGUAGGGUAACGGCCUACCUAGGCGACGAUCCGUAGCUGGUCUGAGAGGACGAUCAGCCACACUGGGACUGAGACACGGCCCAG
rnacentral:rRNA from 1 species